UGGGGAAUAUUGGACAAUGGGCGAAAGCCUGAUCCAGCCAUGCCGCGUGUGUGAAGAAGGUCUUCGGAUUGUAAAGCACUUUAAGUUGGGAGGAAGGGCAUUAACCUAAUACGUUAGUGUUUUGACGUUACCGACAGAAUAAGCACCGGCUAACUCUGUGCCAGCAGCCGCGGUAAUACAGAGGGUGCAAGCGUUAAUCGGAGUUACUGGGCGUAAAGCGCGCGUAGGUGGUUUGUUAAGUUGGAUGUGAAAUCCCCGGGCUCAACCUGGGAACUGCAUUCAAAACUGACUGACUAGAGUAUGGUAGAGGGUGGUGGAAUUUCCUGUGUAGCGGUGAAAUGCGUAGAUAUAGGAAGGAACACCAGUGGCGAAGGCGACCACCUGGACUAAUACUGACACUGAGGUGCGAAAGCGUGGGGAGCAAACA
rnacentral:rRNA from 1 species